ACUGAUGUUAAUGUCAUCGAAAAUUUGUAAACAUUUGAAGCUUGUUAUUUACCUUUCUCUUGUAACAAACUUUUUAAAUAUCGUUUUAAUAACCAGCUUGAUCAACAUAAUGUUUCAUAAGUGCUUAGUGCGUGCAAUUACUCAAACUUUUGGAGGUUCGAAAAACUUUCAAAAUGCCAACAUUUGCAAAAUACGGGGCCCUGCUUGCGAUCGUUUCAGAGACUUCAGCUCCUCUAACACGGCCAUUCAGCCGGACAAAUUGGAAAAAGUCCGGUUUGAUGAGUUCAAAAAGCUGCUCAAAAAUGAGAAAGUCGUUGUCAUCGAUGUUCGUGAGCCGCAGGAGCUGGUAGAGCAUGGGGCUUUGCCCCGGGCCUUGAAUAUACCACUGGGCGAAGUUGAAACAGCCCUUAAAACCCUGCCAAAUGAUCAAUUUCUCAGGAAGUAUGGUGGUCCUAAGCCGGACGCAGACAGCCCCAUAGUGUUUUCUUGCAUGAAGGGGAUGCGGAGUGAAAAGGCCCAAAUCGCAGCUUUGCAACUCGAUUAUAAAAAUGUGAAGAAUUAUGUGGGCGGUUGGACUGAAUGGGCAGAAAAAAACAAAAACUAAACAAAGAAGAACAAGGUGGCACUCUGUGCAAUCAAGCCAGCUUCGCCCAAAGAAAAACUCGCUCGUAAGCCAAUCAGCAGGAAUCGAUAGAAACUUAGGAAACUAAAAGCACCGAAAAAGGCACUGAUUGACGAGAAAGCCCACCCUAUAAAUGGCAUGUUGCUGUUCGAAAUAUAACCGUUCUAAAAGCGG
rnacentral:misc_RNA from 1 species